UACGUAGGGUGCAAGCGUUGUCCGGAAUUAUUGGGCGUAAAGCGCACGUAGGCGGAUUUCUAAGUCGGGGGUGAAAUCCUGGAGCUCAACUCCAGAACUGCCUUCGAUACUGGAAGUCUUGAGUCCGGGAGAGGUGAGUGGAACUGCGAGUGUAGAGGUGAAAUUCGUAGAUAUUCGCAAGAACACCAGUGGCGAAGGCGGCUCACUGGCCCGGUACUGACGCUGAGGUGCGAAAGCGUGGGGAGCAAACAGG
rnacentral:rRNA from 1 species